GGCGGCAUAGCCAAGUGGUAAGGCAGAGGACUGCAACUCCUUCACCCCCAGUUCAAAUCUGGGUGCCGCCUCCA
rnacentral:tRNA from 4 species